UACGUAGGGUGCAGGCGUUAAUCGGAAUUACUGGGCGUAAAGCGUGCGCAGGCGGUUUCUUAAGUCAGAUGUGAAAGCCCCGGGCUUAACCUGGGAACUGCGUUUGAAACUGGGAGACUUGAGUGUGGCAGAGGGGGGUGGAAUUCCACGUGUAGCAGUGAAAUGCGUAGAUAUGCGGAGGAACACCAAUGGCGAAGGCAGCUCUCUGGGACGGUACUGACGCUGAGACGCGAAAGCGUGGGGAGCGAACAGG
rnacentral:rRNA from 1 species